ensembl:lncRNA
GCAAAACCUCAGUGUCAGAUGGAACACACUGUGAUGACCUGUGGAUAGAAGUUUUUUUUCUUUUCCAGUCGACUUGCUAAUGUCUGCUGGCGUUCUUUUAGCUAAAGUCUUGAGAUCUGCUCCUGGGCCAGGAGGUGGGGAGACAAUGCAGAAAUUGCUUCCUCUGGAACAGCCUUCAUUGGAAUUCUGCGAAAGUGAAGGCCAUUUGGAACUUAGAGAGAGAGCUCCCCGCAGGGAAGAAGAUGAAAGGUUUCAAUGGGGCAAAAGGAUGAUCUUUCUAGCAAUGAAUGACAGAAUAGCACGCCAUGGGUUAUUAAGGGAUGCGGGAACUCCCUCUGGAGCCCUUAAGAGAAGGACUAAGUGAUGACUGGCAGACUUCAAGAAAGAACACAGUAAUUUCCUUCGAUGAUGUCAGCUUCCAAAAGGUCAGAGAUGUUUUUUCCCCAAAUCCGCUGCUUCCCUCAAAUAACGCAUUAUGAACUGACAUCCACUAAUUUGCCUAAAUGUUUCUUGUACUUGGUGGGGUAAUGAGUUCCUCAACUUUGCUGUCCUCUGCGAAGGUGAAAAGAUGUCCCUCCUGCUCUCUGGGCUGCUGACUUCAUAUUUCAGGAUGUUGUAACCACCUUUCCCAGUCAGUUAUGUCCCCUUUAUCAGCCCUCCUUCCAGAAUCAGUAGUCUUCAUUUUUUUUAGCUUGUCCUCAUAUAAAAGUUUUCCCAUUACUUGCUAAUAGUCUUAAUUCCUUGUUUUGUUAUGUUUACCAUGCUAUUUAGUGGCAGGACUAUUGGGCGUGAAUCUAUAAUACUGUACAAUGAUAGGAUUAUGCUUUGGCCACACCUUAGAUCAGAUUCCCCAAACUUGCUCUGAAGAACUAGUCGUUUGAGCCUCCAAUAGGCAUGAAAGGAUUUUGUUUGGAAAUUCUAGGAUGAAGAGUAAAUGGUUCUAAAUGGAAUACAGUUCUUCUCAAAGCUUCUUGUGUGUUAGUGAGCCACCCGCCUCUCAAAGAAGGGGAUGACGGUACUCAGCACCUGCUCCAGUUCUUUGAUCACAGAAUCCUCUUUCUAAGCAUCUCUCCUGUGACGAGUGUCCACGGAGCACGUCUUGAGGAAACGCUGAGUCGAAGGCUGUGUGCCUGGGCCGCGUGGAGAGAGUUAGCUCCAUGCGUGUUCCAGAGGGGAAUAGAUUCCGUGUGUCCUGGACAGUACUGACGAGUUUAAGAAUUCAGGAUCACUUCUGAAAUUUACUUAUUAAAAGGAGCCUUUGUAGAGAAGAGAUAUUCUCCUAUUUUGCUGGUAGGAUUAAAAAUUGCUAUAGCCUUUCUGAAAGUUCAUUUCACAAUGCUUGUCAAAAAUGGAAAAAAUGUUAAUACUUAGCAAGCAGCAUUUUAGCAUAAAUUAUCUAGGAAUUUAUUCUAAGUAAAUAACUAUUAAAUUGCACUAAGACUUAGUUCUGUUGAUAUUUACUCCCAUAUUGUUUAUUGUCCCCUAUUUACUUCCAUAUUGUCCUCCAUUUACAUUCCAUUAAAUAUUCAAAAUACUUAAUGACUGACAUGGCAAGGCACCAGCUAAUCAGAACAGAUGCCUCCUAUAAAGCAUUGGUGUGGCUAGACUCAUGCCCAGCAACUAAAUAUCUGCCCUGAUUCUUUAUAUGAAAGAUAAAAAUUGAAAAAAAACAUGCAAUAGAGGAAUAGUUAUAUAAAUUGUGGUGUAAUGCAAUAUUUCACAGCAAUUAAAAGUGAUGUUAUUGAAGACCAGUUCAUGGCAUACGUGCUCUUAAAAUACUAAGUGGGAAAAUCAGGUUAGAACUGUAUAUAGGUAAUGAUUCUAUUUUGAAAAUAAAAUAAAUAUGCAUGGAGAAAAGGUUGGAAAGAUACACACACAAAUACUAACGUCAGUUACAUUUGGGUGGGAGGAUUCCAGGUAAUUUUAUUUUCUUCAUUCUAUCAGUCCGUAUUCUCCAGGUUAGGGGUCAGCAAACUGUAGCUGGUAAGCCAAAUCUGGACCACCGUCUGUUUUUAUAAAUAAAGUUGUGUUGGAACAUG